rnacentral:lncRNA from 1 species
CCAGGUGUCUGAGGGGUUUUGUCUGCCGCUCAUCCUGCUACAUUUCUUGGUUCCCUGGCCGGGAAGCGAGGUGAUUAAUGGAAGGUCGAGGCAGCCCCUUAGAUGGCUUAUGCCUGCCCUGUGGACCAUCCCUGCGGGGAACUCUGGCCAGCUUGAGAGACAUGGAUCCUGAGAGCGCUGCCCGGUAGGCAUUUGCCCUAGUGGAACACCUCAUCAGAGCAGUGCAGGGCAGGCCCCCCCGCGGAGGAUCAACGCAGCAGCUGAACACUGGGAAGGAACCCUGCUCGGAGUCCAGACAUCUGGAAUACUGGGAAGAUCUGGGGUCAGCUGUCACCACUCAGUAUACUUGGACCCGAAGAGGAAGAGACACCAGGAGUACUCAUUCAAGAAAAGGCCAUGUGAGGACACAGGGAGAAGGCGGCCAUCUCCAAGCCAGGAAAAGAAGCCUCACUGAAAACCAGCUCUGCUAGCACCUUGAUCUUGGACUUCUCGCCUCCAGAACUGUAAGCAAAUUAACUUCUGUUGCUUAAGCAUGUCAGUCCCUGAUACUUUGUUAUGGGAGCUCUAACAGACUAAACAAGUAGUGAGAAUCAGUGGAUUUACAUGGCGGAAUAG